AACAGCCACACUGGAACUGAGACACGGUCCAGACUCCUACGGGAGGCAGCAGUGGGGAAUAUUGCACAAUGGGCGAAAGCCUGAUGCAGCUAUGCCGCGUGUAUGAAGAAGGCCUUAGGGUUGUAAAGUACUUUCGCAGGAAAAAAGGAAAAAUUAAAAUUUUUUUCUGUGACUUACCUGAAAAAGAAGCACCGGCUAACUCCGUGCCAGCAGCCGCGGUAAUACGGAGGGUGCGAGCGUUAAUCAGAAUUACUGGGCGUAAAGAGCGCGUAGGUGGUUUAUUAAGUCAGAUGUGAAAUACCUAAGCUUAACUUAGGAACUGCAUUUGAAACUAAUAGACUAGAGUAUUGUAGAGGGAGGUAGAAUUCUAGGUGUAGCGGUGAAAUGCGUAGAUAUCUGGAGGAAUACCUGUGGCGAAAGCGACCUCCUAAACAAAUACUGACACUGAGGUGCGAAAGCAUGGGGAGCAAACAGGAUUAGAUACCCUGGUAGUCCAUGCUGUAAACGAUGUCGACUUGGAGGUUGUUUCCAAGAGAAGUGGCUUCCGAAGCUAACGCAUUAAGUCGACCGCCUGGGGAGUACGACCGCAAGGUUAAAACUCAAAGAAUUGACGGGGGCCCGCACAAGCGGGGAGCAUGUGGUUUAAUUCGAGCAACGCGAAGAACCUUACCUGGUCUUGACAUCCAUAAAAUGUUCUAGAAAUAGAACAGUGCCUUCGGGAAUUAUGAGACAGGUGCUGCAUGGCUGUCGUCAGCUCGUGUUGUGAAAUGUUGGGUUAAGUCCCGCAACGAGCGCAACCCCUAUCCUCUGUUGCCAUCGGUUCGGCCGGGAACUCAGGGGAGACCGCCGGUUAAAACCGGAGG
rnacentral:rRNA from 2 species